rnacentral:rRNA from 1 species
CCUACGGGAGGCUGCAGUGGGGAAUAUUGCACAAUGGGGGAAACCCUGAUGCAGCGACGCCGCGUGAGUGAAGAAGGAUCUCGGUACGUAAAGCGCUAUCAGCAGGGAAGAAAAUGACGGUACCUGACUAAUAAGCCCCGGCUAACUACGUGCCAGCAGCCGCGGUAAUACGUAGGGGGCAAGCGUUAUCCGGAUUUACGGGGUGUAAAGGGCGCGUAGACGGCAGUACAAGUAAGGAGUGAAAUCCCUGGGCUUAACCCCGGACCUGCUUUUGAAACUGUGCGGCUGGAGUGCAGGAGAGGUAAGCGGAAUUCCUAGUGUAGCGGUGAAAUGCGUAGAUAUUAGGAGGAACACCAGUGGCGAAGGCGGCUUACUGGACUGUAACUGACGUUGAGGCUCGAAAGCGUGGGGAGCAAACAGGAUUAGAUACCCGGGUAGUC